rnacentral:misc_RNA from 1 species
GUAGGUGAACCUGCGGAAGGAUCAUUAUCAAUUUAACAGUUCGUGGGAUAGACGCUCGUAAGGCUACCCUUCCCACGCUGUUUCAACCCUUUGUCUUUUGCGUACUGUAUGUUUCCUCGGCGGGUUCGCCCGCCGAUAGGACACUUCAAAACCUUUUGUAAUUGCAAUCAGCGUCAGAAAAACUAUAAUAGUUACAACUUUCAACAACGGAUCUCUUGGUUCUGGCAUCGAUGAAGAACGCAGCAUCUGA